UGACAUUGAUUCGUUCCAAAUUUACACUCUCGGGGUAUAAUAGAAUGAUAUAAUUAGGUUUUACUCUUUGUUCGAUAGAAUGAGAAAAAGUACUCGUUGCAAAGUUAUACUGUUAGGGUGCAACUGAGUAGUCUAAUUUUUUUCCUGUUUUUGUUCUUGUGAACGUUGACAUCGAUUCGUUUAAAAUUUACACUCUUGGGGCAUAAUAAAAUAAUAUAAUUAGGUUUUACUCUUUGUUCGUUUGAAUGAGAAAAAGUACUCGUUGCAAAGUUAUACUAUUAGGGCGCAACUGAGUAGUCUAAUGUUGUUCCGAUUUCGGUUCUUGUGAACGUAGACAUCGAUUCGUUCCAAAUUUACACACUCGGGGCAUAAUAGAACAAUAUAAUUAGGUUUUACUCAUUGUUCGAUAGAAUGAGAAAAGGUACUCGUUGCAAAUUUAUACUGUUAGAGCGCAACUUAGUAGUCUAAUGUUGUUUCGGUUUUGGUUCUUGUGAACGUUUACAUCGAUUCGUUCGAAAUUUACGCUCUCGGAGCAUAAUAGAGCAAUAUAAUUAGAUUUUACUCUUUGUUCGAUAGAAUGAGAAAAAGUACUCGUUGCAAAGUUAUACUGUUUGGGCACAACUGAGUAUUCUAAUGUUGUUCCGGUUUUAGUUCUUGUGAACAUUGACAUCGAUUCGUUCCAAAUUUACACUCUCAGGGCAUAAUAGAACAAUAUAAUUAGGUUUUACUCUUUGUUCGAUAGAAUGAGAAAAAGUACUCAUUGCAAAGUUAUACUGUUAGGGCGCAACUGACUAGUCUAAUGUUGUACCGGUUUUGGUUCUUGUGAACGUUGACAUCGAUUCGUUUCAAAUUUACACUCUCGAGGCAUAAUAGAGCAAUAUAAUUAGGUUUAAUUUUUGUUCGAUAGAAUGAGAAAAAGUACUCGUUGCAAAGUUAUACUGUUAGGGCGCAACUGAGUAGUCAAAUUUUGUUCCGAUUUUGGUUCUUGUGAACGUUGAAGAUUCGUUCCAAAUUUACACUCGCGGGGCUUAAUAGAACUAU
rnacentral:lncRNA from 1 species